UUCAUCUCAAUGGGAGCUAUGCUUUGUUCCAGGUUUCCUAUUGAUUUUGAUAAAUUUCAGCAACUUAGAACACAGAUUCUGACAUAUUUUUCAUGUGCUGUGGCUGUAGAAUAAAUCAGAAUGAAUGAAUGGAUCAGAUAUUAGAAGAUCCAUAGUUUCCAAUGUUCUUUUGGGAAGCCUUAUUAAGUUAUUAGUCCAUGCAGGUAGCUUUCCCUCCUCCAUUUCUUACAAAUCAGUUCUUUACUCAGCUGCUACAACUAGGGUUGGUCAAACCUUAGGGUGUGCUCAGGAGUGGAGACAUGACUUAAAACAUGCAAAAUAAUACUGGAGUGGAGUAAUGAAUUAAUAAUAAUUAAUGUUUGUGUCCCACAGAAAGGAAAGCAGCUUCCCUUAAGCAGCCAUGCAGAGCUUGGAGCAGAGUUGUGGGGUGACUUGCCACAGUGCUGGAUUUGCUCUGCUGUCUGAUGUGGAGGCACAGCAGGAGCCUCAGCUGCAGAGGACGUGGCCACCUGAGGUGUCCUGGUGUGUGUCACCUCCUGGAGGACAGCUCUGUCCUCCCUGGGUUAACCUGGCUGGUGCCCUGCGGUAGGAGGGGAUACCCACACCUCAUGAACCAGCUCUGAGAAGCUCCAACUCUGCUGCUGCUGCUUCAGGCCAGAAGACCCCAAACCUGAUGGUUUUGACAUAAAGGAGAUGAUUUCACUGAUGAAAUUGGCCAGAAACUGGCCAUCAUUGGCCUGAUGAAGGUGCAUUUCAGCACAGGUAGGCUCCUGGAUGCAUGGCUUUCCCUUCAUAUUUUACUUUGGGACUGAUUUGCUCGGAAAUAUGGGGCAUUGCUUCCUGCUUGCAUGUCUGCCUGGCAUCCACAGAUGGUGAACAUGAAGUCCCUUGAUAGGCUUUUCCUCAGAGUGGUAUAAUGGGCUCCUGUAAACUGGGAGUUUGGAGUAACAGCCACAAGUCAUUGCACAGAACUCAUUUUAGACUCCAACCAAUACAGUUUGUGCUGUGGAAACACCUUUAGUGUCUUCUAAACUUUCAGUUUGGUUUGGUGCAACAUCUCCCCUGUUUUGUAAGAGUCCCAAAAUUUGUUCUUGGAUAAAUCUCCAUUUCCCAUCUGGCUUUCAGCAAGUUCCAGAUCUUGUCCUAAUUAUUGCAAUGUGAGCAUAUGUUAUGUAAAGAACUGACAAAACCCAAAAUCAUCAUUGGGAAAACCCUGGAAUACUGAUGGGUUUUGUGUGAGCAUCCAAAGUGGGACAGAUUAGUUUCCUUUCAUAGAUCUAAGUUGCAGAAAAAAGAAGUUAGAGAUGUCCAAAUCUGCAUGUGAGGAGCUGUGGGUACCCCCAGGUGUGACCACUGAGGCUCUCACACAGGUGCUCUGUGCUCUGAGCUUUGCUCUUUGGCUGGAGCAAGGCUCUGUGGUGUCACCCUGGUAACACCCAGGGGCUGCAGUGUGGCCUUGCUCUUCUGUGACCCCUGUGAACUCCAUACCAGGUCUCUGCUCCCACCAGGAGCUGCCAGCAAAUAGGUUUAUAGAAGGAUAGUGGCAGGAGACUUGGCAGCUGACAGCAGAGCAGCUGUAUUUGCUGUUUCUGUCUGCCAGAACACAAAGCAGAAUUAAUUUAAGCUACUGUACAGGUUAAUACAUCCUUUAAGGUGAGAGAUACUGUAUAAAUAUAGUGGCACCAACAUCCUAGGCAAUAUUUUAGUAUGAAAUUUCGUCUGACCUUAUUAAUUUUACUUGGAGAAAAACACAGAGGAAAUCAAAAAAAGAACACAUCAUGUCAGGUUGUCCAUUUAUGAUCACAGAACUCUGCUCUUGUCAUCCAUUGCUGGUUGAUGCUGGUGCUGGUGAGAAUACCUGAGACAGUUGAAGGGGCACAAGAUCACUUUACAGGGCUGUUUCUGCCAGCUUACCUGAGCCCUGGUUUUCAGGUGGGCAAACUGGUAUGGCUCCAGUUGGAGCAGUUUAUCUUUCAGAUGGCCCAGCAUCCCCAGGAGGAGAGCCUGACUUUGCCAGGAGGUACUGUCCACCCUGGCUCCCUGUAGGGCAAUUUCUCUUGGUGCUGGGGACAGCCGUGCUCUGCCCAGCAGGGUCUCAAGGAGCUCCUCCUUCCUGCACAAGGGUGCUUGUAAGCUUCCUAAAGCUGAGAUGUGCUGAACAUGUUCCUACUCUGCUUAACUUGAGGUUUUUUUGCUCUCCAUGUAUCCAGCUGAUCAGGGCUGUCUGUACCCUGACCUGGGUAGGGCUGAGAUGGUCUCAGCAGUUUGUGUGACACCUCCUUCUCCCUGAGCUGUUGGGUGGCCCUGUCCCCUGGGGAAAUGAGGUUGUGUGAGCCCUGUGGCACUGAGGGGAGGCAGGAGGAAAGGAAAUUGCUGGGGUUACACAGACAGGUCAGGAGCUGGGGAAUGCUGUUUGAAUGGGGGGCCUUCACCACUCAGUUUGCAGUGAUGUUGCCAGAAACCUUGCUCAGCUGAGGAGCCUUGGGAGUUUUUUUGUUUUAGUUUUAAGCCAUUGAGGGUGUUGCCAUGUGUCAUUAAGUGUGAGUGAGUUUUGCCAAGGAUGGGAGUUGGAGACCUUCAUUCAUUGUUGUAGCCUGGUGGCUGGAAUUCCCACAUUACAACGUGGCUCCAGGCAGUGGUGAUUCAGAAGGAGGAAAAAACGUUCCCUCUGUUGACACAUCAAUAAUAAUUCUAAAGGCAUCUGAGGGACCAUGGCCCUGGGAAUAUUCCCACUUUCCAAUAGUGAAAAGGUUUGCUACUCAUUCUUUUAAUUCUUUCAGCUGCUUUAGGACGCAUAAUAAAUAUCAGACCAGAAAACUUUAUCACAGCUCCCCUUCAGAAAUCCUUGGGCUGAGAGGAGAGCUGUUUGGAAACACUUUGUAGAAUUACCACUGCUUUUAAUACUGUGGUAAAAUGAGGAUAAAUCUGUGCUGCUGUAAUUACAUGACAGUGUAAAAAGUCUGGAAAUCUGUCCAGGUAGGGUGGGAGGAUAAGCCCCAGUGUCAGACCCCUGAUGAUCCCUUUGGCUUUGGUUUCCUGCUCUGUGACUUUGUGAAUACAUUUAGCAGUGGCUGGAGUUCAAGUUACAGCCACACAGAGUAAAAGUGAAUGUCACUGAAGAUGUGCUCUGGAAAGAAGAUGUCAACCUGCUGUACAUAAUGACAUGGGAUAGCUUGAGGAUUGUUUCUUCCUAAAUGGCCUAAUGCAAGCAAUAACUCUCCUGGAGAGCAAAGAGGACACAGCACCCACAGAAGUUCUGCAGCAUUUUUACGUUUCCCUUAGCCUUAUAAACACGAUUUUGAAUGGGCUGUUAGCAGGAUGUCAGGCUGGGAAUGUUUGCCCAGCCUCUGAAGGCAUGCAGACGUGCUGUGGAGCGAGCAGGGAAAGCUGGUGCACACUGAACAGGAGAGGGCACUGGCACUCCAGCAGCUGUGCUGGGCUCAGCUGCCGAAGGACGGAUUUUUACUGCAGAUCAGCACACACACUCUCAUCAUCUUCUGCUCUUAAUGUGAGAAAAGAGUCUGUGAAAAGAGUGAAUGAACUGCAUUUAUUGUCUGUGUCUCUCUAGGGAAAGGGAAAUCCACUUGCACCAGGUAGGAACCUGCUCCUUUGCUUUGAAAUUCAUCUGCUGGUGUCUGGUGCGGCUCCUGUGAGUGUCUUUUUGAGAAAUUCUGCUUUAGUGUCCAUCUCUGCACCGACAUUAGGUAUUCAGUACACAAACUAAGGUGACAUUCAUGUUGACCAAGGCAAGCUCAGGUUGUGUGUCCUCUCCUGCAGAUGUGGAAGUGCAGCCCUUCACCCCAAGAACUGUUAUGUGCUGCCUCUCCUCCUGCCUCAUCUCUCAGCCAUCAGACUCUGAAAGGCUGAAUUUUCCUCCUGCUUCACAGCAUUAACCACAGUGUACUGGGAAGCAAUGUGCAAGUGGCCCCUAACCAGUGGGUGAGGAGCUCUAAGUCAGGCUCUGUCCCUCUGGCCACCAUCCCAGCAUCUCCAAAUGUGAUGCUCAUGAAGGGCUGCAUGCCCUGACUCAAAAUGCUGGACAGUGACCUCUUUUUUACUUUUUUUUCUUUCCUUCUUGAAUUUUCAUCUCUUUUUUUUUUGCUUUCACCUUUUUUGCUUUGCACAUGUAAAGGGUCUAUCAUACUGGAAAGAACCAAGUUCUGUUUGUUUUCCAAUCUAAUUAGUUUAAAUUAGACCCAAAGUAAAGCUUUCGUGGAGCUGUCAGCAUAAUUACAGGCUGGGAAAGCCUUCCUGCUGAAUCUAAAUCCAGCCCCCGGCUUCCUGGUCCUGACAGAGUGUGGCAGAGGAAGGGGGAACAAGGCAGAAGAAGGGGGAACAAGGCAGGGGUGACAGCAGCCCUGUUGUUUCUCUCCCAAAUCCUUUGCAAUUUUUUUCCUGCUCUGUAUAAAGGUUUGUAAAAGGCAAAGCAGAAUAGGCCUGACAGCAACAGAGGGAAAUAUAUUUAGAAACAUGAAAAAUAGGAAGAGAAAAUGUUUUAUUUGCAUUAUUCACCAAGCUCUAUUAUUUAUUACAUUGCUGUGCUAGUGCCUGGUUUUAUAACUCCCAAAGAAAUGAUUGUGCUUGUGAGGGCAGCUUUGUGCUGCUGUCUCUUAGAUCUGGACUCUUGAUACGAGGCAUUCUUUGGCUGUUGCUGCUGUGAGGGUGGGGAGGCCCUGGCAGAGGGUGCCUAGAGAAGCUGUGGCUGUCCCUGGAUCCCUGGAAGUGUUCAGGGUCAGGUUAGAUGGGGCUUGGCACAACCUGGGAUGGUAGAAGGUGUCCCUGCCCAUGGGAGGGGGAACAAGGUGAUCUUUAAUGUUCCCUCUCACCCAAACCAUUUCAUGGGUCUGUUUCAGCGCUGCUUAGUUCAAAUGGUGAAUUUGUCAGGUCUGGUUUUGACAGGAGGAAGGUGAACACAUUUAUUCUGCUUGCUGUGUCCCCAGCUCAGCCUUCUGCUGAAUUUUUCCUGAGGUUAUUGUGUGAGCUUGGGCAAGGGCAGGCAGGAAGGUGGAGUGGAGUGAUUUCCAUGCUGGAUUUAACAAAGGUGAUGGGGCAGCAGGACCUGCUUUCCAGCCCAAGCAGAUCUGUGGGGACUUCAUCCUCCUUGAUAACCUCCACAAGCACUGGCUUGUCCUCAGGCCAAUCUGAACCAGAAGGGCUGUCCUGGGCAGCAAAGGCACAUCUCAGUCUUGCACAAGCACAUUUAGGAUGUCACUACAUUUCAGCACUGUUUGUGCUAUGGAGCUGAAGGGCUAUGGAGCUGCUGGUGUUCUGUGGGGUGUUUGGGAUUGGCAGUGAUCAUGCACAGCUGGGUAUAAGGGAAAUGUAUGAGCUUAGGAGACACUUUCCUGCACUUUUCAUACCAUUGCAGAAAUGAGAAUGAUGUUUGCUUGACACAGGAGAGCAGAAAUUUGGUGUUGAUGUGGUUUGGUUUCUUACUGUAGGUUUGUGGGAACACUGUCCCUUGGAGCAGGCCUCUUCUGCUGCAGCAGCUGCUGCCCACCACAUCUCUAUGGUCGUCUCAGAUUAAUAUUUUUCCACUUAUCACAUAGGUACUUCUGAGUCUUUCUGGUGCUGGAUAUUUGGCCCGUCUGAGCUUGUUCACCCUUUCUGUCCCCCAGAUCUCACAGCCUGGCUUUCAAAGACUUGCAAAUAAAGCAAAAGGGUUAGAAAAUAAGGAUGCUCCAUAGUUAGAUACUGACAUACUGCUAAGCUGUCUUAGGGUAAUGUGUUUUUACUUUUAAAGAUAAAUUUAUGUUCUUCUACA